rfam:Oryza glumipatula chromosome 6, whole genome shotgun sequence.
AAUAAAUGCAUUUUUGCACUAUUCAUGUUCAAUGUGUGACUGUUCAUCUUAUUUAAAUUUUUUUUAUGAUUAGUAUUUUUAUUGCUAUUAGAUGAUAAAACAUGAAUAGUACUUUAUGUGUGACUAAAUAUUUUUAAAUUUUUCAUAAAUUUUUUUUAAUAAGAUGGACGGUCAAACGUUGGGUACGGAUAUCUAUAGAUGUACUUAUU